AAUUACCCACACCCUUUAGAGCAAUUCAAAUAAGGUACAGCCUAUUUGAUACAGGAUCCAACCUUCACCUACGGGUAACAUCACACCCCCCCCAACUCGCACUCAAGUUGGCCUAAUAGCAGCCACCUUUAAAAAAGCGUCAAAGCUUACCCACGUCAACCUUAAUUCACCAACCACUAUUGACCCCUACUACCGUAUUGAGAACUCCUAUACCCCUAUGGGAAAUAUUAUGCUAAAACUAGUAACAAGAAGAACAACCUCUCUCCAGUGCAAACUUAAACCAGGAAGAAUCCCCCACUGGCAAUUAACAGACCUACCUAAAAGUACUAACUAUCCUAGAAAACCCUACCUCCCCCACUGUUAACCUAACACUAGUGCACUGCCAGAAAGAUUAAAAGAAAAGGAAGGAACUCGGCAAAUAUUAACUCCGCCUGUUUACCAAAAACAUCGCCUCUUGUCUCCAUAAGAGGUCCAGCCUGCCCAGUGACCUAGUUCAACGGCCGCGGUAUCCUAACCGUGCAAAGGUAGCGUAAUCACUUGUCUUUUAAAUAAAGACUAGUAUGAAAGGCACCACGAGAAUUAAACUGUCUCCCUUUUCCAAUCAGUGAACCUAAUACCCCCGUGAAGAAGCGGGGAUUUCACAAUAAGACGAGAAGACCCUAUGGAGCUUUAAACAUCAUAAUCACUUGCCCAAAACUAAAAAACUCAGGUUCCACACCCAAAUUCAUUAUGAUUAUGUAUUUUUGGUUGGGGUGACCGCGGAGAAAAACUCAUCCCCCGCGAUGAAAACAAAUACCCAAACAACAAGCCACAGCUUUAUGUAUCAAAAAAUUGACACCAUUGACCCAAUAUAUUGAUUAACGAACCAAGUUACCCUAGGGAUAACAGCGCAAUCCACUUCAAGAGCUCCUAUCGACAAGUGGGCUUACGACCUCGAUGUUGGAUCAGGGUAUCCUGGUGGUGCAGCCGCUACUAAGGGCUCGUUUGUUCAACGAUUAAAACCCCACGUGAUCUGAGUUCAGACCGGAGCAAUCCAGGUCAGUUUCUAUCUAUUAUAAGGCUUUUUUCAGUACGAAAGGACCAAAAAAGCGUAGCCCACACUCAAACAAGCUACAGUCAGUAAUUUUAGACCCCCUCUUAAAAACCACUAACCUUACCCCCCCCCAC
rnacentral:rRNA from 1 species